rnacentral:rRNA from 1 species
CGUACGGGAUGCAGCAAUGGGGAAUUCUGCGCAAUGGGCGCAAGCCUGAAGCAGCAACACCGCGUGAGGGAAGAAGGUAUUCGGAUCGUAAACCUCUGUAAGGCGGGAAGAACGGCAAGGUGUUGAACCGGGUAAGUGAUUGACGGUACCUCGAAAGGAAGCACCGGCUAACUCCGUGCCAGCAGCCGCGGUAAUACGGAGGGUGCGAGCGUUAUUCGGAAUUACUGGGCGUAAAGGGCGUGUAGGCGGCUAUGUAAGUCAGAUGUGAAAGCCCACGGCUUAACCUUGGAACUGCAUUCGAAACUGCUUGGCUAGAGUACGGGAGAGGGGGGCGGAAUUUCCGGUGUAGGAGUGAAAUCCGUAGAUAUCGGGAGGAACACCAGUGGCGAAGGCGGCCAUCUGGUCCGUAACUGACGCUGAGACGCGAAAGCGUGGGGAGCAAACAGGAUUAGAUACCCCAGUAGUCC